rnacentral:rRNA from 1 species
GACAGAGGGUGCAAACGUUGCUCGGAAUCACUGGGCGUAAAGGGCGUGUAGGCGGGAGAGAAAGUCGGGCGUGAAAUCCCUAGGCUCAACCUAGGAACUGCACUCGAAACUUCUUUUCUUGGGUGCCGGAGAGGAAAGCGGAAUACCUGGUGUAGAGGUGAAAUUCGUAGAUAUCAGGUGGAACACCAGUGGCGAAGGCGGCUUUCUGGACGGUAACUGACGCUGAGACGCGAAAGCGUGGGGAGCAAACAGG